UGGGAAAGACCUUCAGAUUCUCUCGCGUAUAAAAUCAAGGAAGUGUUAAAUGUUGAGUCAUAUCAAAAAAUUGGCUUCAGGCGGAUUUUCUAAAGAGACCAUGUUUUUAAACUCCCAGCAGAAUUUGCCAAUCUUUCCACACAUGUCACUGUUGGAACCUUACUCAAGAUUCCUGCCUCGGGACAGGGCCGCCGCCAGAGACCACUCGACACAGAGAUCACAGCAAAGAGACACUAUUUAUUACUAGCGCGCUAGGGUCCCCAGCACAUAAGGCCAGGAGACCCCGAAUGAUUGUUACAGACUGCUUAUAAAGGCAAAAACCACAAAUCAAACGGGGAGGUUACAAUAAGCUGAUUGGGUUACACAUUUGAACAGUUUUUGGGCGCGAGGUUUGGAAGUAACUGAUUGGUUCUAAUUAUGGUCUGAGCUAGCUGUCUCACACUGGUUGGUCAGGGGCUUAUAGGCGGGAGGAGGUAUUUCCUGGAAAUGUUUUUCUGCUUUAGUUCCGGGAACAAGGGGCGGGGGGGGCUCCCUGUCUUACCCUGGGCAUCUGGUGUUUAUGAUAGCCAUUGACACACCCUGACUCCUGGCCAUCUGGUGUUUUAGUGGCUGUAUUUUCUCUAUGGUUUCUCAUUCCCUCCUCUUUUUGUGACUUAGAGGCUCAAUCUUGAGUCUCUUCAUCAGUCUUGACUGCCUGGUACUGUUGAGUCAGGAUCAUAGCAUGCACUAUGUUUAAUUUAUCUUUAAUUAGGGUAAGCAAACGGUUAAAAAUGCAGGGCCCAAAAGUUAAAAUGAGCAUAAGCAGGAUCAGGGGCCCUAGGAUGGUGGAAAUGAGAGUACUAAACCAGGGGGAUUGGUUGUACCAAGUUUCAAACCAGCUUUGUUGGGAUUCUCUCUCUUUUUGUCUAUCAUCUAGUCUUUUUCUAAGUUUUGCCAUAGAGUCUUUAACUACUCCUGAAUGAUCAGCGUAAAAACAACACUGCUCUUUAAGGGCUGCACAGAGCCCGCCCUCUUUUAGAAAAAUUAUGUCUAGUCCCCGUCGAUUUUGGAGUACUACUUCGGACAGGGAGGUUAGAGAUUCUUCAAGUUUGGUAAUGGAGUGUUCUAUGGCCCUGAGGUCUUCAUCUACGGCUGCCCUGAGUUGUUGUAGGUGGUAGCUGCCACGCACUAAUGCCGCAGUUCCUGUCCCGACCCCAGCCGCUACUCCUAAUCCUAGCAUAACAGCGAGGGUGAGGGAAACAGGUUCUCUCUUUAUUCUAGUGAGGUAUUUUUGCUCAAACUGGGAUUCAAAAGACUCUCCAGUUUGAUAAUAAACUCGGGGCACAACUUGUACUAAUAUACAAUAAUCUUCACUGUCGUUGAAGACAGCUGCGGAUACACAAGGGGUAAGUCCGGUUUUGCAAGCCCACCAGUCUGGUCCGGAGGGUAUUAGAUAGUGACUAGUUCUGGGUACUGCCAGGGUUCUAUUACAGAGAUGUUGGUGACUGGGGGGCACCCGGCCUAUACAGGUUCCCGACCCUGACACCUCUGCUAGGGUAAGUUUCUUGUGCUGGUCCCAUGCACAUCCAGAAUGACUAGUGGAGUUAGUAAGAUUACUAACAGAGGCAAUACCUUCAUAGUAAGGGGGGCCUGUGGCCAGGCAGAGCCAGCAGGAGGUGGUGGAUUCAGGCUUUGUCUGGUUCAGGGCGAGGUAAGCGCCUCUGAUGAGGUUGAAGAGUCUAUUGCUUGUUUCCGGGUCGGGAGGCAGGCGAGUAGGCCCCGGGAGCGCCGAUGGGGAUGGGGAUUUGGAUGGGGAAACGGUGGUCGGGACUUUCUGCCGGCUCCCUCACUGAGAAGGUGCUCUCCCUGUUAGAACCGGGUUUGGCCCUACCGGGACCGAGGCUGAGACCGGGUUAACUAGUAGUCUAAUUUGGAUAGGGAGUCCAGCUGCCGGAGUUUGGUAUAAAUUUAGGCCCCAAAUUAGUCCGGUUGUCCACCGGGGGUCAGUUUUUGCGGCCUCCUCAAAUUUGACACGGAUUAAGUUACAGGUGGCCGAAUACCGUGUCCUGGUGCAGGGCUGGACAUAGGACAUGGUUAAAUACCAGGGUUGGGUUUUCCAUUUCCAUUCCCCAUCAUUAGUUGUUACACAUGACCAACUUGCACAGUACAGGGACAUUAUUUCACCACAGGUCUUUUUCAUCGGUCCCGUCCGGAAUCCAGGGCAGACAUAAAACCCGUUUCGACUUAGGGAGACUCUUCUCGCUUGCUUUCUCCACUCACCACCCUCCAUUUCAUCUAUCAUGGCUAUUUUGUCAAGAUUGAAGUAGAGGUCAGGGAACCAGGUAUUUAAAGGGGCUACAUGUGAAGUCUCGUUGAGGACUUCAUGGGUUUUAAAAUUAGUUAUUUGCCAGGUCAAUCGAUAGGGUUGGUGGGGGUUGCUGCUUCCGACAACCCAGGGAAGGAAAAGAGUUAACAGUAGGUGAGGGGUUAGACACGGGAAAGUCUUAUCUUGAGGGGGUCCCUGGAGCGACGAAGUCUCCAUUUCUCAGGCGAUGCUGAUUCUGGCACCCUCGGAGCGGCUUUUACGUGGGAUGCGUGGAUCCAGGCGGCGACCCCGUCAACUUUCACGGCAGUGGGUGUGGUGAGGAGAACGAUGUAUGGUCCCUUCCACCGGGGUUCUAAUCCUUGGGAGCGAUGUCGUCUGACAUAGACGGAGUCUCCCACUUGGAAAGGAUGACUGGUUUGUGGGUGUCCAGGCUGGUACAGUUCCGCCAAAGGAGCCCAAAUUUGGGCUUGCACCGCCUGUAGUCCUUCUAGUCGAGCCUGCAAGUCAGUCUUAGGGUUAGAGGGGGCGAAAGAAUCAAUUAAGGUUGACAAGGGGGGUGGUCCCCCAUAGAGGAUUUCAUAAGGGGUGAGCCCAAAGCGAUUAGGCGUAUUUCGGGCUCUCAAGAGAGCUAGGGAUAGGAGACGUCUCCAAUCUUUUAAGCCAGUCUCUAAGGUCAAUUUUGUUAAGGUCUCUUUAAUAGUUCUAUUCAUCCGUUCUACCUGUCCUGAACUCUGGGGCCUAUAAGCACAAUGAAGUUUCCAAUCAAUCCCCAGUAUCCUGGCAAGUCCCUGACUUACCUGGGAGACGAAGGCUGGCCCAUUAUCUGACCCGAUUACCUUGGGGAGUCCGAACCUGGGGAAAAUUUCUUCUAAUAUCUUCUUGGCCACUACGUGGGCCGUUUCUUGCCGGGUGGGGUAGGCUUCUACCCAUCCUGAAAAUGUGUCUACAAAUACUAACAAAUAUUUAUAUCCUGCAUGGUGAGGCUUUAUUUCAGUAAAAUCUACUUCCCAAUAGGUCCCAGGGCGGUUGCCCCGUGUCCUUAUCCCCGCCGGGACUCGCGUGGCCCCGGCGUUUACUUGUUGGCAGGCCUUGCAAGCGAGCGUUAUUUGUUCCAGGAGGGUCCCGACCCUGGGGAUUAGGAAGUCAGUCUUUUCAAUGAGCAGUUUUAGUUUCUUACUACUUAAAUGUGUCCAGGCGUGCAUCUGCUGCACCAUGGCCGUGGCCUGUUUUUGUGGGAGGACCAUCUUCCCGUCUUUUUCCCAAUUCUUAGUCUCUUGGUUUUCUGUGGCUCCUAAGGCUAUUGCCUCUUCCCGGUCCUCUGGUGUGUAGGUAUAACGUGGGGAAGGGGGUAUCCGGUCAGCCUUUUUGGUUUCCGAAACUAAGGUGAAUAUUCUAGCAGCCUGCUUGGCCGCCUGGUCAGCUUGCCUGUUACCCUGGGCGACGGGGUCAUGUCCUUUUUGAUGCCCAGGACAAUGAAUUAUGGCCACCUUUUUAGGGAGGAAGAGGGCCUUUAAUAAGGCGAUUAUUUCGGCCUUAUUUUUUAUUUCUUUUCCUUCUGAUGUUAGGAGACCUCGCCUCUCGUAAAUGCUCCCAUGGGUGUGGGCUGUCGCAAAGGCAUACCGACUGUCUGUGUAGAUGUUAGCCUUUUUCCCCUGCGACAGCUCUAAGGCCUUUGUUAGAGCAACUAGUUCAGCCUUUUGAGCAGACGUUCCGGGAGGCAGUGCCUGCGCCCAUAUCGUGGCAUGUCCAUCCACUUCCGCCACCCCCGCCCUCCAGGUACCUGCGUCCAUGAAGCUGCUACCGUCUGUGUACCAAGUAUGGUCUGCGUCUGGGAGCUCGUAGUCCUGGAGGUCUUCUCUAGUCCCGUGGGUCUCCGCCAGCACUUGUCGACAGUCGUGGGGGCUUAGCGGGACCUCCGGUACAGGUAGCAAGGUGGCAGGAUUCAGAGUGACCGGAGGGCCAAAGCGGACGCGGUCCAUGUCUAGUAGUAGGGCUUGGUAGUGGGUUAGACGAGCGUUGGUGAUCCAACGGUCCGGGGGCUGCCGCACUAUGGCCUCUAAGGCGUGCGGGGUAAUGACAGUCAAUGGUUGCCCAAGGGUUAACUUAGCAGAGUCUUUGACUAGCAUAGCGGUGGCUGCCAUAAUGCGGAGGCAAGGGGGCCACCCAGCCGCCACAGGGUCCAGUUUCUUAGACAAGUAGGCUACCGGUCUCUUCCAGGGCCCCAGUUUUUGGGUUAAGACCCCUUUGGCUAUCCCCCGUCUCUCGUCUGCAUAGAGGGUAAAAGGCUUGGAUGUGUCAGGUAGCCCGAGGGCUGGGGCAGAGAGGAGUGCCUUCUUUAAAGUUUCGAAGGCCUGUUGGUGUUCCUCCAGCCAGGUAAAGGGGUUGUUCCCUUUGGUGAGGGCAUAAAGGGGGGCUGCCAACUCAGCAAAACCAGGUAUCCACAGGCGGCAGAACCCGGCAGUCCCCAGAAACUCACGCACCUCCUUGGGACUCCGAGGUGGCGGAAUGCGGGCUACAGUCUCUAUCCGCCCAGGGGUGAGCCACCUUUUUCCUUCACUUAAGAUGUAUCCCAGCUGCCGCCGCGCCGCUGUC
rnacentral:lncRNA from 1 species